UCCGUAGGUGAACCUGCGGAGGGAUCAUUACUGAGUUUACGCUCUACAACCCUUUGUGAACAUACCUAUAACUGUUGCUUCGGCGGGUAGGGUCUCCGCGACCCUCCCGGCCUCCCGCCUCCGGGCGGGUCGGCGCCCGCCGGAGGAUAACCAAACUCUGAUUUAACGACGUUUCUUCUGAGUGGUACAAGCAAAUAAUCAAAACUUUUAACAACGGAUCUCUUGGUUCUGGCAUCGAUGAAGAACGCAGCGAAAUGCGAUAAGUAAUGUGAAUUGCAGAAUUCAGUGAAUCAUCGAAUC
rnacentral:rRNA from 1 species